rnacentral:lncRNA from 1 species
UUGGAUGAUACACUCUUUUUCAUUUUAAUCCUUCUUUGUUGUUCAGGCACAAACAAUUUCAUCGUGUCCAGGCUGUUCAACUACUAAUUGUGAUAUUCCAGAUUUUCAGAAUUUCGUGCUGGUGCAGUAGGAUUUCCUGCACAGUGGAGCAGAAUUGGGUCUGUGAGCUGAGCCAUGGACCUCUUCCAUCAGUAGAAGUGAAGAAAAAGCCUUUGUGUUAUUUAACAGGCUGAGGAACCCUUGAUUUGGGAACACAAGGAAUCUCCUCAGGAAACAAAAGUAUCCCAGAUGCUAGCACACCUGGUAACACAUCCAUAGAGCUGGCCUCUCACAGCAGCAUAGGUGUUUGUGUCACACUUUUCACAUGCUGCUGUUUGCCAACCCAGAGUGCUCUUGGAGAGUUGUGUCCCAGUGAAAAGAUUGGAAAUCCAAUAAUUCCUUGCACUACAGCUGGUGGGACUGCGGCCUUUCUGAUUUUUGUAGCAGCUUCCAGUUCAUGUGUGUGGAAGUGGCCAGGGCAGAGAAUGGGGUCCAUGCCACCCAGAAAUCCUCUUCCCUUGCAGUUUGGUGCUUCACUCAUGAGCCUGUUCAUAGCUCCAUGGGUUUUUAAAAGGAGAUUGGAAAGGUUUGAUGAAACAGAGAGAGAGAAACAGUUUGCAGAAGCACAAAAACAAAUCUACAGAAAUGUUGAUGGAGGUGACACAACUCAUCCCUUCACCUAA